ACUCUUGUCCUUUCUCUUUCAGGAUCCUCCAUCAUUUUGUCUCACCAGGCUUAAUGCUGGGUAUUUCUUCAGACUAAUUGUUUGUUUAUAGAAUUCUCCAUCCAAAGUACAUUGAUAGACAUCAUUCCUUUCAAAGAGGACCUAGAUACCUGGGUGUUUCCCAAGGAAGUAUGAAAGCUGAUACAAACAUGGCAUUUCUGGCAUUCAUCUUCAUGAAUCCAUGAACAAGAGGGAGAAGCAGCAAUGAAUGAUACUUAUGUACAACCCCAAAUAAGGUAGUGUUUAAAUUCAAGAGUUAUCUGCCUCGGUCACCUAAGGGUAGGUUCAGAGAAAUGAUGUAAAGGGAUAAGAGUAGAGGAUGGCUAAAAGCAAAGGUGAAAACUGCACCCAAGGCGAUGGAGCAACUUUCCACUGGAUGUCUCAGUUUGGCUCAAGAUGAGUGCGGGAGAUGGAGGUCGAGUCUCUGGAGACUUUAUCUGAGGGGCAAGCAGGGUCUUCAUGAGGUAGAAUCUCCUGGAAAUUUAUAAAAGGAAGAUCACGUCUAAUAUCUUAAGUGUUUAUUUGGAGGAGAGCUUUGAAUGGAGAGAAAGGGAAUUUAAUAAAUCCCUAUUUGGGGGAGCACCUGGGUGGCUAAUGUCAGUUGAGUGUCCAACUUUGGCUCAGGUCAUGGUCUC